rnacentral:piRNA from 1 species
UUGAAUUUAGGAAAAGAGGAACUCCCCAUU